AUAUUUAUAUAAUAUUAACAUAAUUCCAUAUUACUAUAUAUUUUAGUAUAUGAAAUUUUACUUUGAGAAAAUUAGAGUGCUUAAAGCAGGCAUAUGCCUUGAAUACUCCAGCAUGGAAUAAUAUUAAAGAUUUUUAUCUUUCUUAUUGGUUCUAAGAUAAGAAUAAUGAUUAAUAGGGACAGUUGGGGGCAUUUGUAUUUAACAGUCAGAGGUGAAAUUCUUAGAUUUGUUAAAGACAAACUAAUGCGAAAGCAUUUGCCAAGGAUGUUUUCAUUAAUCAAGAACGAAAGUUAGGGGAUCGAAGACGAUCAGAUACCGUCGUAGUCUUAACCAUAAACUAUGCCAACUAGAGAUUGGAGGUUGUUCCUUACUCCUU
rnacentral:rRNA from 1 species